rnacentral:rRNA from 1 species
UACGUAGGGGGCAAGCGUUGUCCGGAUUUAUUGGGCGUAAAGAGCUCGUAGGCGGCUUAGCAAGUCGGGUGUGAAACCUCCAGGCUCAACCUGGAGCUGCCACUCGAUACUGCUAUGGCUUGAGUCCGGUAGGGGACCACGGAAUUCCUGGUGUAGCGGGGAAAUGCGCAGAUAUCAGGAGGAACACCAGUGGCGAAGGCGGUGGGCGGGGCCGGAACUGACGCUGAGGAGCGAAAGCGGGGGUAGCAAACAGU